rnacentral:rRNA from 1 species
UACGUAGGGUGCAAGCGUUGUCCGGAAUCAUUGGGCGUAAAGAGCGCGUAGGCGGCCCGAUAAGUCCGCUGUGAAAGUCAAGGGCUCAACCCUUGAAUGCCGGUGGAUACUGUCGGGCUAGAGUCCGGAAGAGGCGAGUGGAAUUCCUGGUGUAGCGGUGAAAUGCGCAGAUAUCAGGAGGAACACCAAUGGCGAAGGCAGCUCGCUGGGACGGUACUGACGCUGAGGUGCGAAAGCGUGGGGAGCAAACAGG